ensembl:snRNA
GUGUUGUAUUAAAGGAGAGAAAGUUAGCACUCUCUAACAAGCAUGGCCCUCGGGCCUGACAACAUACAUACUGUUAAGGCAUUGUACUCUUGGUAGCUGACCAUGGUCUUUU